UUGUUCAGAGCACCUCAAAGACUGAAGACCUUGAAAACUGCAGUACCACAGCAUUUCUGCUACUACAAGGCCAUAUCCCUCAGAAACACUAAACAGGGCUGGUUUUAUCAAACAGCUUGGAGCGAGGAGACAUGCAGUGUCUGAGCCUGAGGAACACGUUCCUGCUGGAAGGGGCCUGUUUCUCGGAGAGAGUGGAUGUCAGCCUGGAUUUGGACUUUCACCUAAUCUUCUCUGAAAGUACCUGGAGAUAUUAAAUGGCCACCUACUCAGCUGCUGGACUUCAGCUUAAAAGCCAGUCCAAAAGCCUCCUAUGAAAGCAAUCUGAAGGCACGGUGGUGCUGUAGGUCAUGGCCUCAGGCUCUGCGUAAAAUAUUUGACCUGAUGUAUAUAUUUAUAUAUAUAUAGUGUAAA